rnacentral:rRNA from 1 species
UCGAUUCUUCGGAUGAAGACUUUUGUGACUGAGCGGCGGACGGGUGAGUAACGCGUGGGUAACCUGCCUCAUACAGGGGGAUAACAGUUAGAAAUGGCUGCUAAUACCGCAUAAGACCACAGUACUGCAUGGUACAGUGGUAAAAACUCCGGUGGUAUGAGAUGGACCCGCGUCUGAUUAGGUAGUUGGUGAGGUAACGGCCCACCAAGCCGACGAUCAGUAGCCGACCUGAGAGGGUGACCGGCCACAUUGGGACUGAGACACGGCCCAGACUCCUACGGGAGGCAGCAGUGGGGAAUAUUGCACAAUGGGCGAAAGCCUGAUGCAGCGACGCCGCGUGAAGGAUGAAGUAUUUCGGUAUGUAAACUUCUAUCAGCAGGGAAGAAAAUGACGGUACCUGACUAAGAAGCCCCGGCUAACUACGUGCCAGCAGCCGCGGUAAUACGUAGGGGGCAAGCGUUAUCCGGAUUUACUGGGUGUAAAGGGAGCGUAGACGGCUGUGCAAGUCUGAAGUGAAAGGCAUGGGCUCAACCUGUGGACUGCUUUGGAAACUGUGCAGCUAGAGUGUCGGAGAGGUAAGUGGAAUUCCUAGUGUAGCGGUGAAAUGCGUAGAUAUUAGGAGGAACACCAGUGGCGAAGGCGGCUUACUGGACGAUGACUGACGUUGAGGCUCGAAAGCGUGNGGAGCAAACAGGAUUAGAUACCCUGGUAGUCCGNGCCGU